rnacentral:lncRNA from 1 species
GUUCCAAGACUGGCUGUGGAGCAGGAUUGCAAUCAGUAGAAGUAGAGAAACUGUCGGUAUUUGGAAGAGGGCUUCUUUGGAUUAAGGCAGAUCAAUCCUGAACUGAUUGGGGCUGCCUGAAAUUGCCACUGGAUGAUGAGAACUUGAAUGGCAAAAUCCUGACCUCAGACACACUGAUGAGGAUAAGGUUCAGCCUCGGAAAACUGGAUGCCCAAUGGGUGCCUGGGUGAUGAACGAGAAUAGACUGACUCUACAAAUCCACCCCCCUCACCUACAGAUGAAGAAACUGCUUCCUAGAGGAUGUAUGUGCUGGAAGAAUGAUGAGAACUCUGGUUUCCACAUCUCCUUCCUCAAGUUCAUUCCCAACCACACUUGGUCACGGAGAAAGAUAAGGCUUAGCCCAGUGGCGAAGCUGACUUGCAUAUCAAAACUAGUUUUCUCAUUGACUUGGUUUAAAGAUAGAAUGAUGAAAAAUCAUGUCUUGAAUGGAUUUUAUAUAGACACCAUAAUAAUAACAUAA